AUGUCAGCUUGGAUGUAAUUCAAUCAAGUGACUACAGUGCUUAUGUCAGCUUGGAUGUUUCCACAUGGCAUUAUUGUGGUACGUUGUGACGUCAUACAAGUCUGAACGUGUUUAGUUGAAAAAAUAACGUAUACAGCAGUCAUUGCAAUUUCAUUUUUGUUUUGUUUUCUUCGCUGCAUAAAUGUAUAAAUAAUUCACGCAAACAGAUCCAGCAUUGCAUCUUUGACAUUCUCUGAAAUCCAAAUUCCCAAAAGUAAGACGUUUGAUGAUAAGUUGAGAAAAAUUCAUAAUUACAUCAAUUACUCAAGGGGGGGGGCGUUCUAAACAAGCCCAUUUUUUUUUAAACAACAGAUUUCAACUCAAAUUCCCUCUCGGUUGAGAAGAAAGAAAGAAGAAGAAACAAGUAGAGCGUUUAAAAAAUGUUAGAAAAAAAGAAAACAGAAUGUCUCUCCAUCU